UCUGGAACAGUUGUCAGAGGGUGAUGGCAAUCGAACACAGGCAUGUCGGGAGAGGGCAUCAGCCACAACAUUUUCGUGACCAGGAACGUGAUAAAUCUUAAAAGAAUACUCCUGAAGCGCUAGGGCCCAACGGGUAAUCCUAGGGGAAAGUAACCUACAGGUGUUGAGGUGAUCCAGGUGCUGCGACACACUCGAUGAGGCAACUAGAAGGUCAUCAAUAUAAGUUACCAAGAAGUUAGAAAAUUUUGCUCCAAAUAUUGUAUCGAUGGCCCUGGAGAAGGAUGCUACAGCAGUCGAAAUACCAUAAGGUAAAACACACCAUUGACAGGCCAAGACACUUUGACGCCACAUUUUCAACAUCAAUUUCACAAACAUUUAAGUCUACAAUAGAAGAGCUUACUUUACUAUGGCAAUAUUGCUCGUCCUGAAGAUGGAGUCUCGAAACGUUAGUUUGAGAUUGAGGAUUGUGAAAUGACAAAGAAGACCUCCUGGAGUUGCCCUCGUUACUUUGAUGAUCUGGUAGAGGUAAUGGAGAAGCACCUUCCAUAUUUAAUAAAGAUAUGUUACCUUGAUUUUCAGACGUUUUACUUUGAACCUUCUCUGUUACAGGAAUGUCGUUUGCAUUCUCUGGCCAGUUCUCUUGGUCUCGCCUCCGAUUCCUCAAGUUGUACUGCAGGCCUUGUGGAGACUUUUCCAACACCAUUUUCUUGUCUCUUCAGGAAAAAAACAGCCCAAAGUUUUUCGCCAGAUGUAAGGGUUCAAUCUCAGGGUUUUUCGAAAAGGGGUUGCUGCUGAUCCAAUGAGACACAGGAUAAGGCACGGGACUCGACGGUGAAUCUUGUCCUUAAGGACCACAGUAAGGUAAUUUAGAACGAAGUUCACUUUAAAGAGCAAACAAGAAGAA